rnacentral:rRNA from 1 species
CAUUACUGAGUGGCUGGCGCCGCCUCUGCGUUGCGAGAGCGCGCGGGGCGGGGAGAGCGGUUACCCGACCUUUUGUCAUUUGGGCUGGCGGCUGUUUUCCAGGCUGGGGGCUUCUGGGCUGGGGUUCCCGAGUGGGAGGACCAGGCUGGGGGGUUCCAGGGUGGAGACAGGCGGCGGCAUGUUCAGGUUCGGCGGAGGAGGCAGGGGCUGGCCGAGGUUGACCGGAUGGAUGGAAAGAUCGAUCGGGUUGACUGCGGGAGAGGCGACCUGCCCGCCGCCGGUGGGAUUAGCAACUCUUUGUUAGCAAGGUGAAGUCUGAGGAAGCAAGAAAACGAAAAAGCAAAACUUUCAACAACGGAUCUCUUGGCUCUGGCAACGAUGAAGAACGCAGCGAAACGCGAAAGGUAAUGCGAAUUGCAGAUCAGUGAGUCAUCGAAUAUUUGAACGCACAUUGCGCCUCUCGGUAUUCCGGGAGGCACGCCUGUUCGAGCGCCAUUACACCGUCCAAGCUGCGGCUUGAUGUUGGGCGAGGCUGCGGUCCGAGAGGACGGGCGGCGCGCCUGGAAGGUAUGGGCGGCGGAGGCCAGACCGCGAGCGUAGCAAGACGAGAGUCACCCGCUCGGACGGAUCUGGCGGACGCGUGUCGAGAAGUCUGUAUGUGAGUGGCGAGGGCGACCGCGCAAAGACGACGAAACACACACAAGUUUGGCCUCGAUC